AAGAGGGGGGAGGGAGGGGGGAAUAUGGGACAAUGGGCGAAAGCCUGAUCCAGCCAUGCCGCGUGGGUGAAGAAGGCCUUCGGGUUGUAAAGCACUUUCAGUGGGGAAGAAAGCCUUGGGGCUAAUACCCUCGAGGAAGGACAUCACCCACAGAAGAAGCACCGGCUAACUCCGUGCCAGCAGCCGCGGUAAUACGGAGGGUGCGAGCGUUAAUCGGAAUUACUGGGCGUAAAGCGCGCGUAGGCGGUCUGAUAAGCCGGUUGUGAAAGCCCCGGGCUCAACCUGGGAACGGCAUCCGGAACUGUCAGGCUAGAGUGCAGGAGAGGAAGGUAGAAUUCCCGGUGUAGCGGUGAAAUGCGUAGAGAUCGGGAGGAAUACCAGUGGCGAAGGCGGCCUUCUGGACUGACACUGACGCUGAGGUGCGAAAGCGUGGGUAGCAAACAGGAUUAGAUACCCUAGUAGUC
rnacentral:rRNA from 1 species